AUCACAUUUAUUUAUACUACCCUGUGAUUCAUUUAUUUUUUAGCGUGUACUAUGUGCCAGACAUUGUUCUAGGAACUGAGGUUAUAGCAGUAAGUACAACAGACAUUCCCACCCUCAUGGAGCUGAUGAUCCUAGAGGAGGAGAUAGACAAUUUUUAAAAAGUAAAUGAUAUAAUGUAUUAAAAGGUGAUAAGAACUAUCGAGAAAAAUAAAGUGAGGUCUUCACAUUCCACACAAUUUCAUUGCCAUAAUGGAGUGCAGUUGGCCCUCCACAUCAGUGGACUCCACAUUUGUGGAUUCAACCAAUCAUGGAUUGAAAAUAUUUG
rnacentral:lncRNA from 1 species